UUUAAGUGUAGUUAUGUGUUUCUGUGUACAUUUGACCAUCCGUCUUAUUUGAAAUUUUUCUGUGUUUAAUAUUUUUAUUGUUAUUAAAUGAUAAAAUAUGAAUAGUACUUUAUGUAUAACUUAUUUUAUUUUAUUUUUUUAUAAUUUUUUCAAAUAAAAUAUAUGGUCAAAUGUUAGGUAUAAAACCCACAACUACACUUUAA
rfam:Oryza glumipatula chromosome 10, whole genome shotgun sequence.